rnacentral:rRNA from 1 species
CUCUUUCGUGGGGGAUAGUGUAUGGAAACUUACGCUAUUACCUUUCACUGCCUACGGAUGAAAGCUGCUUGCCUUCGGGCUUCGCCCGAUUGACUGAGCCGAUGGGGAUUAGCUAGUUGGCGGGGUAAAGGCCAACCAUCCCUACAAUCCGUAGCUGGUCUGAGAACCCCUCAUGGACACUGGAACUUAUACACGGUCAAGACUCCUACGGGAGGCAUCAGUGGGGAAUAUUGGACAAUGGGCUCAAGCCUGAUCCAGCCAUGCCGCGUGGGUGAAGAAAGCCUUCGGGUUGUAAAGCCCUUUUGUUGGGAAAGAAAAGGACUCGGUUAAUACCCGAUUGUUCUGAGGGUACCCAAAGAAUAAUCACCGGGUAACUUCGUGCCAGCAGCCGCGAUUUAACUAAGGGGGCAAACCUUACUCGGAAUUACUGGGCGU